rnacentral:rRNA from 1 species
AGGGAAACCGAGUCUUAACUGGGCGUUAAGUUGCAGGGUAUAGACCCGAAACCCGGUGAUCUAGCCAUGGGCAGGUUGAAGGUUGGGUAACACUAACUGGAGGACCGAACCGACUAAUGUUGAAAAAUUAGCGGAUGACUUGUGGCUGGGGGUGAAAGGCCAAUCAAACCGGGAGAUAGCUGGUUCUCCCCGAAAGCUAUUUAGGUAGCGCCUCGUGAACUCAUCUUCGGGGGUAGAGCACUGUUUCGGCUAGGGGGUCAUCCCGACUUACCAACCCGAUGCAAACUGCGAAUACCGAAGAAUGUUAUCACGGGAGACACACGGCGGGUGCUAACGUCCGUCGUGAAGAGGGAAACAACCCAGACCGCCAGCUAAGGUCCCAAAGUCACAGUUAAGUGGGAAACGAUGUGGGAAGGCUCAGACAGCCAGGAUGUUGGCUUAGAAGCAGCCAUCAUUUAAAGAAAGCGUAAUAGCUCACUGGUCGAGUCGGCCUGCGCGGAAGAUGUAACGGGGCUAAACUGUGCACCGAAGCUGCGGCAGCGACGCUUAUGCGUUGUUGGGUAGGGGAGCGUUCUGUAAGCCUGCGAAGGUGUCCUGUGAGGGAUGCUGGAGGUAUCAGAAGUGCGAAUGCUGACAUAAGUAACGAUAAUGCGGGUGAAAAGCCCGCUCGCCGGAAGACCAAGGGUUCCUGUCCAACGUUAAUCGGGGCAGGGUGAGUCGACCCCUAAGGCGAGGCCGAAAGGCGUAGUCGAUGGGAAACGGGUUAAUAUUCCCGUACUUGGUGUUACUGCGAAGGGGGGACGGAGAAGGCUAUGUUGGCCGGGCGACGGUUGUCCCGGUUUAAGCGUGUAGGCUGGUUUUCCAGGCA